UUUGGUGUGUGGAGUAACUUUUGAAUAAUAAGGCAAAAAAAAUUGCUUCAACUCAAUAGCUGCAUCCAUAAGGAAUAAUGACAGUGAUGUUCCAAUGUCAGUGUUCCUUUCUGUAAUAAUAAGCAUACAGUGCGGUAUGACUACACACACAAAGAUAUCGGGUGUUGACUGUAUUAACAUGGAACUUUAUUUUAGUAAUGUGGGUUUUUUUAUUAUUAUUUUUUAUUUUAUUUCUGCAGCUUGGAAAGUCUCUAAGCUAUUCUGAUUUCAGAAUCCCCCUCCUCAGUAAUCAGAGAGAAAGCUUUCAGAUGACAUGUCUAUUCAAGGCAAGGCUCUGACAACGUCCUUCAUGGCGACAUCUAAGUUAAUUAGACCACUUUCAGAAGACAGGAUUGCAUUUUGAUACUCAGAAUUUAAUAUUUGUGAAUUCCUUCAAUGUUAAAACACACCACCAUCUGCAAAACAAAUCCAGUCAGUCACUUUCUUCGAAGUGAUGUAACUUCUUGAGAGUGUACAAACAGUCCGCCACACCAAUAAGAAGUCUAUCUAAUGGAGUUAUCAUCCAGCUAUAAUUCUCUUACUAUCUGCUCGCGCUCACCCUGAAUUUCUGAUGUCAGCAUUUGAAAAAGCUCUCGGGCAACACAAGGGGAAUACUUACUCUGGGUUAGCACAACGUGCAGAAAAAGCAGCUCUGCUGAAGUUGUGUUAUUUGGACAGAGCUUAAUCCUGAAGCACCCUUCCUUAUACAGGCUGAAGUGUUGGGUGUUUUUGUGAUGCGCUAUCAGUGUUAUGCUUUGGUAUCAGGGAUGCUGCAUACAAAUCCUAAGCCUAUCCACACUGAAGCAGUGUUUUAAUAAGAAUACAGCAAAA